rnacentral:rRNA from 1 species
AGCGUACACGGUGGAUGCCCUGGCAGUCAGAGGCGAUGAAGGACGUGCUAAUCUGCGAAAAGCGUCGGUAAGGUGAUAUGAACCGUUAUAACCGGCGAUGUCCGAAUGGGGAAACCCAGUGCAAUUCGUUGCACUAUCGUUAACUGAAUACAUAGGUUAACGAGGCGAACCGGGGGAACUGAAACAUCUAAGUACCCCGAGGAAAAGAAAUCAACCGAGAUUCCCCCAGUAGCGGCGAGCGAACGGGGAGCAGCCCAGAGUCUGAAUCAGCUUGUGUGUUAGUGGAACGGUCUGGAAAGUCCGACGGUACAGGGUGAUAGUCCCGUACACCAAAAUGCACAGGUUGUGAACUCGAAGAGUAGGGCGGGACACGUGGUAUCCUGUCUGAAUAUGGGGGGACCAUCCUCCAAGGCUAAAUACUCCUGACUGACCGAUAGUGAACCAGUACCGUGAGGGAAAGGCGAAAAGAACCCCGGCGAGGGGAGUGAAAAAGAACCUGAAACCGUGUACGUACAAGCAGUGGGAGCACCUUCGGGUGUGACUGCGUACCUUUUGUAUAAUGGGUCAGCGACUUAUAUUCUGUAGCAAGGUUAACCGUAUAGGGGAGCCGCAGGGAAACCGAGUCUUAACUGGGCGUUAAGUUGCAGGGUAUAGACCCGAAACCCGGUGAUCUAGCCAUGGGCAGGUUGAAGGUUGGGUAACACUAACUGGAGGACCGAACCGACUAAUGUUGAAAAAUUAGCGGAUGACUUGUGGCUGGGGGUGAAAGGCCAAUCAAACCGGGAGAUAGCUGGUUCUCCCCGAAAGCUAUUUAGGUAGCGCCUCGUGAAUUCAUCUUCGGGGGUAGAGCACUGUUUCGGCUAGGGGGUCAUCCCGACUUACCAACCCGAUGCAAACUACGAAUACCGAAGAAUGUUAUCACGGGAGACACACGGCGGGUGCUAACGUCCGUCGUGAAGAGGGAAACAACCCAGACCGCCAGCUAAGGUCCCAAAGUCAUGGUUAAGUGGGAAACGAUGUGGGAAGGCACAGACAGCCAGGAUGUUGGCUUAGAAGCAGCCAUCAUUUAAAGAAAGCGUAAUAGCUCACUGGUCGAGUCGGCCUGCGCGGAAGAUGUAACGGGGCUAAACCAUGCACCGAAGCUGCGGCAGCGACACUAUGUGUUGUUGGGUAGGGGAGCGUUCUGUAAGCCUGCGAAGGUGGCCUGUGAGGGUUGCUGGAGGUAUCAGAAGUGCGAAUGCUGACAUAAGUAACGAUAAAGCGGGUGAAAAGCCCGCUCGCCGGAAGACCAAGGGUUCCUGUCCAACGUUAAUCGGGGCAGGGUGAGUCGACCCCUAAGGCGAGGCCGAAAGGCGUAGUCGAUGGGAAACAGGUUAAUAUUCCUGUACUUGGUGUUACUGCGAAGGGGGGACGGAGAAGGCUAUGUUAGCCGGGCGACGGUUGUCCCGGUUUAAGCAUGUAGGCUGGUUAUCCAGGCAAAUCCGGAUAAUCAAGGCUGAGGUGUGAUGACGAGGCACUACGGUGCUGAAGUAACAAAUGCCCUGCUUCCAGGAAAAGCCUCUAAGCAUCAGGUAACAUCAAAUCGUACCCCAAACCGACACAGGUGGUCAGGUAGAGAAUACCAAGGCGCUUGAGAGAACUCGGGUGAAGGAACUAGGCAAAAUGGUGCCGUAACUUCGGGAGAAGGCACGCUGGUGUGUAGGUGAAGCCCCUGCGGGUGGAGCUGAGACCAGUCGAAGAUACCAGCUGGCUGCAACUGUUUAUUAAAAACACAGCACUGUGCAAACACGAAAGUGGACGUAUACGGUGUGACGCCUGCCCGGUGCCGGAAGGUUAAUUGAUGGGGUUAUCCGUAAGGAGAAGCUCUUGAUCGAAGCCCCGGUAAACGGCGGCCGUAACUAUAACGGUCCUAAGGUAGCGAAAUUCCUUGUCGGGUAAGUUCCGACCUGCACGAAUGGCGUAAUGAUGGCCAGGCUGUCUCCACCCGAGACUCAGUGAAAUUGAACUCGCUGUGAAGAUGCAGUGUACCCGCGGCAAGACGGAAAGACCCCGUGAACCUUUACUAUAGCUUGACACUGAACAUUGAGCCUUGAUGUGUAGGAUAGGUGGGAGGCUUUGAAGCGUGGACGCCAGUCUGCGUGGAGCCAACCUUGAAAUACCACCCUUUAAUGUUUGAUGUUCUAACGUUGGCCCCUGAUCGGGGUUGCGGACAGUGUCUGGUGGGUAGUUUGACUGGGGCGGUCUCCUCCCAAAGCGUAACGGAGGAGCACGAAGGUUAGCUAAUCCUGGUCGGACAUCAGGAGGUUAGUGCAAUGGCAUAAGCUAGCUUGACUGCGAGCGUGACGGCGCGAGCAGGUGCGAAAGCAGGUCAUAGUGAUCCGGUGGUUCUGAAUGGAAGGGCCAUCGCUCAACGGAUAAAAGGUACUCCGGGGAUAACAGGCUGAUACCGCCCAAGAGUUCAUAUCGACGGCGGUGUUUGGCACCUCGAUGUCGGCUCAUCACAUCCUGGGGCUGAAGUAGGUCCCAAGGGUAUGGCUGUUCGCCAUUUAAAGUGGUACGCGAGCUGGGUUUAGAACGUCGUGAGACAGUUCGGUCCCUAUCUGCCGUGGGCGCUGGAGAAUUGAGGGGGGCUGCUCCUAGUACGAGAGGACCGGAGUGGACGCAUCACUGGUGUUCGGGUUGUCAUGCCAAUGGCACUGCCCGGUAGCUAAAUGCGGAAGAGAUAAGUGCUGAAAGCAUCUAAGCACGAAACUUGCCCCGAGAUGAGUUCU